rnacentral:rRNA from 1 species
UACGAAGGGGGCUAGCGUUGCUCGGAAUUACUGGGCGUAAAGGGCGCGUAGGCGGAUAUCUAAGUUGGGGGUGAAAUCCCGGGGCUCAACCUCGGAAUUGCCUUCAAAACUGGAUAUCUUGAGUUCGAGAGAGGUGGGUGGAAUUCCUAGUGUAGAGGUGAAAUUCGUAGAUAUUAGGAAGAACACCGGUGGCGAAGGCGGCCCACUGGCUCGACACUGACGCUGAGGUGCGAAAGCGUGGGGAGCAAACAGG